AUUGAACGCUGGCGGCAGGCUUAACACAUGCAAGUCGAGCGGGGGAAGGUAGCUUGCUACCGGACCUAGCGGCGGACGGGUGAGUAAUGCUUAGGAAUCUGCCUAUUAGUGGGGGACAACAUCUCGAAAGGGAUGCUAAUACCGCAUACGUCCUACGGGAGAAAGCAGGGGAUCUUCGGACCUUGCGCUAAUAGAUGAGCCUAAGUCGGAUUAGCUAGUUGGUGGGGUAAAGGCCUACCAAGGCGACGAUCUGUAGCGGGUCUGAGAGGAUGAUCCGCCACAAUGGGACUGGAGCACGGCCCAGACUCCUACGGGAGGCAGCAGUGGGGAAUAUUGGACAAUGGGGGGAACCCUGAUCCAGCCAUGCCGCGUGUGUGAAGAAGGCCUUAUGGUUGUAAAGCACUUUAAGCGAGGAGGAGGCUACUCUAGUUAAUACCUAGGGAUAGUGGACGUUACUCGCAGAAUAAGCACCGGCUAACUCUGUGCCAGCCGCCGCCGUAA
rnacentral:rRNA from 1 species